AUUGAACGCUGGCGGCAGGCCUAACACAUGCAAGUCGAGCGCGUGGCGGACGGGUGAGUCAUGUCUGGGAAACUGCCUGAUGGCGGGGGAUAACUACUGGAAACGGUAGCUAAUACCGCAUACCAUCAUAUGUUCCCAGAUGGGAUUAGCUAGUAGGUGGGGUAAAGGCGCACCUAGGCGACGAUCCCUAGCUGGUCUGAGAGGAUGACCAGCCACACUGGAACUGAGACACGGUCCAGACUCCUACGGGAGGCAGCAGUGGGGAAUAUUGCACAAUGGGCGCAAGCCUGAUGCAGCCAUGCCGCGUGUAUGAAGAAGGCCUUCGGUUUGUAAAGUACUUUCAGCGGGGAGGCGUUACCCGCAGAAGAAGCACCGGCUAACUCCGUGCCAGCAGCCGCGGUAAUUC
rnacentral:rRNA from 1 species